AAUCACAUCUGUUCCCCCUCUGUGCCUGUAUCCUUGUCACCUGAAUAGCAUCCCCACCAGGUAUCAAAUGAGCUACAGGAAAUAGGUUUUCUUUUUAUCCAACUUCACUCUGAAAUGAGAAAAUGAGCACCCUGACAAGGAAGCCCACAAACCAACAGGGAUUCCAAGCUCAGAUUUCAUCAUAAUAAAGAAUGUUUAAUUGUUAGCUGAAGGUUCAUUCGGAGAGCAGGAACACCAAGAUUUUGAUACAAAGGUAGCUCUCUGGCUCCUCACUGCCCAAUUUUUGAAUAGCCUCAGAAAAGUAGCCUGAUAAUUAGUAGUCACUGACUUUUAAUGAUCUGAUCUCAUUCUAAUGGCGCAACCUCAAACUCUCAGGCCAGACCAGCAAUUCUCACCUCUCCAUCUUCUUUUAAGUAUCAAAACAAGGGCUGACUAGAUGGAAGCGCUCCUGGAAGCCUGACGCUUCUUUCAUUUCAAUCUUCCUCAAGCAACUGCAAAGGGAAUUGGACAAGUUUGAAACUUCGAAUUCCUUUCUUUCUUCGACCAGUCCUGAAUACUUCUAUCAAGGGUUAAUACUGAUUCAAAUGCAGCACUUACUGAGGUGAAAAUCUUGGAAGGGGGUGAGGGAUUAUGGAGGGAAACAGAAGAAAGAAGAGAAAGCAAGAGGAAAGAAGGAAAGGAAGAAGGAAAAAGAGAUGAGAUUAAAUUUAGUAUCGAAGAGAA